AACGCUAGCUACAGGCUUAACACAUGCAAGUCGAGGGGCAGCGUGAACUUAGCUUGCUAAGUUUGAUGGCGACCGGCGCACGGGUGAGUAACGCGUAUCCAACCUUCCGUACACUCAGGAAUAGCCUUUCGAAAGAAAGAUUAAUACCUGAUGGUAUGAUGAGAUUGCAUGAAAUCAUCAUUAAAGAUUCAUCGGUGUACGAUGGGGAUGCGUUCCAUUAGAUAGUAGGCGGGGUAACGGCCCACCUAGUCGACGAUGGAUAGGGGUUCUGAGAGGAAGGUCCCCCCACAUUGGAACUGAGACACGGUCCAAACUCCGACGGGAGGCAGCAGUGAGGAAUAUUGGUCAAUGGGCGCGAGCCUGAACCAGCCAAGUAGCGUGAAGGAUGAAGGUCCUACGGAUUGUAAACUUCUUUUAUAAGGGAAUAAAGUCACCCACGUGUGGGUGUUUGUAUGUACCUUAUGAAUAAGCAUCGGCUAACUCCGUGCCAGCAGCCGCGGUAAUACGGAGGAUGCGAGCGUUAUCCGGAUUUAUUGGGUUUAAAGGGAGCGUAGACGGGUCGUUAAGUCAGCUGUGAAAGUUUGAGGCUCAACCUUAAAAUUGCAGUUGAUACUGGCGUCCUUGAGUACGGUUGAGGCAGGCGGAAUUCGUGGUGUAGCGGUGAAAUGCUUAGAUAUCACGAAGAACUCCGAUUG
rnacentral:rRNA from 1 species